CGGGACCCGUUAGUGACCUGCGGAGGGACAUUA
rnacentral:rRNA from 1 species